GACGAACGCUGGCGGCGUGCUUAACACAUGCAAGUCGAACGGAAAGGCCCCCAUCUUGGUGGGGGUGCUCGAGUGGCGAACGGGUGAGUAACACGUGGGUGAUCUGCCCUGUACUUCGGGAUAAGCUUGGGAAACUGGGUCUAAUACCGGAUAGGACCAUGGUUUAGUGUCUCAUGGUGGAAAGAUUAUUGUUUUGGUGCAGGAUGAGCUCGCGGCCUAUCAGCUUGUUGGUGGGGUAAUGGCCUACCAAGGCGUCGACGGGUAGCCGGCCUGAGAGGGUGGACGGCCACAUUGGGACUGAGAUACGGCCCAGACUCCUACGGGAGGCAGCAGUGGGGAAUAUUGCACAAUGGGCGCAAGCCUGAUGCAGCGACGCCGCGUGGGGGAUGACGGCCUUCGGGUGGUAAACUCCUUUCGUUAGGGACGAAGCCGCACUUUUUUUGGGUGUGGUGACGGUACCUUUGUUAAGAAGCACCGGAUAACUACGUG
rnacentral:rRNA from 1 species